AGUGAACGCUGGCGGUAGGCCUAACACAUGCAAGUCGAACGGCAGCACAGUAAGAGCUUGCUCUUACGGGUGGCGAGUGGCGGACGGGUGAGGAAUACAUUGGAAUCUACUUUUUCGUGGGGGAUAACGUAGGGAAACUUACGCUAAUACCGCAUACGACCUACGGGUGAAAGCAGGGGAUCUUCGGACCUUGCGCGAUUGAAUGAGCCGAUGUCGGAUUAGCUAGUUGGCGGGGUAAAGGCCCACCAAGGCGACGAUCCGUAGCUGGUCUGAGAGGAUGAUCAGCCACACUGGAACUGAGACACGGUCCAGACUCCUACGGGAGGCAGCAGUGGGGAAUAUUGGACAAUGGGCGCAAGCCUGAUCCAGCCAUACCGCGUGGGUGAAGAAGGCCUUCGGGUUGUAAAGCCCUUUUGUUGGGAAAGGAAAGCAGCAGGUUAAUACCCCGCUGUUCUGACGGUACCCAAAGAAUAAGCACCGGCUAACUUCGUG
rnacentral:rRNA from 1 species